UCUAGGAAAACUGCCGAUGAUAAGUCGGAGGAAAGGUGUGGAUGACGUCAAGUCCUCAUGGCCCUUACGGGUUGGGCUACACACGUGCUACAAUGGCAGUGACAAUGGGUUAAUCCCAAAAAGCUGUCUCAGUUCGGAUUGGGGUCUGCAACUCGACCCCAUGAAGUCGGAAUCGCUAGUAAUCGCGUAACAGCAUGACGCGGUGAAUACGUUCCCGGGCCUU
rnacentral:rRNA from 1 species